rnacentral:tRNA from 1 species
AAGGAUUUAAGUUAAAAAAACUAACAACCUUCAAAGUUGUAAAUAAAGGCAUUCUUUAAGCCUUA